GGAAGGAUCAUUAAAAGAGUCCCAUCCUCGAAUUAGUAGUUUACUGCUGGUUCGCAGAGUUGGUGACAUCCUAUCCAAACCUGGAUAAACGUUAAACAGGUAGAAGGGAGGAAAAGUUGAUCUUCGGAUCAGCUAUUCUUCCUGGGCCACCUGUCCUAACAUAUCCUCAUGCUGACGACCUCUGUAUUCUUGGGUUUGCCAUUGUGAAUGCUGCAGUUGGGGCUAGUCCUCUUCAGCGCUUGUAGCUUGGCACUCCCAUACAGUUAAACAACUUUGUAAACAACCAUUCUAUAGAUUUUUAGUUGCACUAGGGAGGAAAAGUACUUCGGUACGGCUUCUCCUACGAGUGUAUCCUAACUUAAUACAACUGUUAACAACGGAUCACUCGGUUCUCACGUCGAUGAAGAGCGUAGCGAAUUGCGAAAAGUAAUGCGAUCUGCACCCAUCGUGAAUCAUCGAAUCCUUGAACGCACACUGCACCCAAUGGUAUCCCCAUGGGUAUGCCUGAUUGAGUACCGGUUACAUCAUCAAAAGGUUUAUUCUUUUUGGAAUUGGACUCUCCCCUAUUCCGCUUCUUUUGAGGCAGGGAAGGGGUAGUCUUAAAUGAAGGACGCUGGAUGUGUUGUACCCGCACGGGUCUCCUCCUGCCGUUCUAUCUUUUCUCCCAUCUCUAUGUAUGGUGUAUUGGUCGCGAUCUUACUUCCCAAGUAUACUUCGGUGUAUGGAAGGGAGUGAGAACACGAAUUUCACGCUUUGUAUAGUCCUGGGUGGAUUGGUAGGCGGAAUCACAGGGAAGAUCAGUGCACGACACUUUUAGUUGCUCGACUGCGACCUUGGCUUGUCCUUGGUGCAUUCAUUGAAUUUUCGGUCUCAGUUAGGUAGGAGUACCCGCUGAACUUAAGCAUAUCAGUAAGCGGAGGAAAAGAAACCAACAGGGAUUCCCCUAGUAACGGCGAGUGAAGCGGGAAGAGCUCAAAUUUGAAAUCGUGUCAGGGUGACCUGGUCGCGAAUUGUAGUUUGAUGAGGUAUGCUUGGUGGGCGCCUGGGUCAAAAUCCUUUGGAAAAGGGUAUCAUAGAGGGUGACAAUCCCGUCUGUGAUCCAGACAGCGGUCUAUCGUGUAAGCUACCUUCAAAGAGUCGGGUUGUUUGGGAAUGCAGCCCUAAGCUGGUGGUAAAUUCCAUCUAAAGCUAAAUAUUCGUGAGAGACCGAUAGCGAACAAGUACCGUGAGGGAAAGUUGAAAAGCACUCUGGAGAGAGAGUCAAACAGCACGUGAAAUUGUUAACAGGGAAACGUUGGGCACCAGUACGCGCCUCGCGUAAAAUCAACCAUCUCUUCCCCAAGGGUAUACGUCCGGGUGGGCGAGCUUUAAAAAGCCGUUCUUCGGUCGUUGCCUAAGGGGGGUGGUGCACUUUUGCGUGGGCGGGUCAACAUCAGUUAGGACCGCCGGAAAAUCCUCAAGGGAAGGUAGGUACAGGAUUCGUCCAGUACAACUUAUAGCCCUUGUUGAACGCGGCGAUUCUGACUGUGGAGUCGCGACUCGUGCUUUCUUCGGGAGGCAGGCCCCCAGGGCCCUCUUCGCUCCCCGGUGCUAGACAGCUUGCUGAUUAGUACUGGUCUGGGUGUGGAUGUGGUCAGGGUAGGGCUCUAGCGAGUCUCGGACGUUGGCGAAAUGGUUCUCAACGACCCGUCUUGAAACACGGACCAAGGAGUCUAACAUGUGUGCGAGUAUUUGGGUGCUAAACCCGGAUGCAUAAUGAAAGUGACCACAGGGGAGAAGGGUUUGGCUUAACGGCCGGCUCCGCACCCUCGACCGAUCUGAUUGCCCUCGUGGCGACGGGUUUGAGUUUGAGCAUAUCUGUUAGGACCCGAAAGAUGGUGAACUAUGCCUGAGUAGGAUGAAGCCAGAGGAAACUCUGGUGGAGGUCCGUAGCGAUUCUGACGUGCAAAUCGAUCGUCGAACUUGGGUAUAGGGGCGAAAGACUAAUCGAACCAUCUAGUAGCUGGUUCCCGC
rnacentral:misc_RNA from 1 species